rnacentral:rRNA from 1 species
UUUGAACGCACAUUGCGCCCGCCAGUAUUCUGGCGGGCAUGCCUGUUCGAGCGUCAUUACAACCCUCAGGCCCCCGGGCCUGGCGUUGGGGAUCGGCGGAGCGCCCCCUGCGGGCACACGCCGUCCCCCAAAUACAGUGGCGGUCCCGCCGCAGCUUCCAUUGCGUAGUAGCUAAC